UCCAUCGCAUGGUGGUUGGUGGAAAGCUUUUGUGGUUUUGNAUGGACUCGCGGCCUAUCAGCUUGUUGGUGGGGUAAUGGCCUACCAAGGCGACGACGGGUAGCCGGCCUGAGAGGGUGACCGGCCACACUGGGACUGAGACACGGCCCAGACUCCUACGGGAGGCAGCAGUGGGGAAUAUUGCACAAUGGGCGCAAGCCUGAUNNAGCGACGCCGCGUGAGGGAUGACGGCCUUCGGGUUGUAAACCUCUUUCAGUAGGGAAGAAGCGUAAGUGACGGUACCUGCAGAANAAGCGCCGGCUAACUACGUGCCAGCAGCCGCGGUAAUACGUAGGGCGCAAGCGUUAUCCGGAAUUAUUGGGCGUAAAGAGCUCGUAGGCGGUUUGUCGCGUCUGCCGUGAAAGUCCGGGGCUCAACUCCGGAUCUGCGGUGGGUACGGGCAGACUAGAGUGAUGUAGGGGAGACUGGAAUUCCUGGUGUAGCGGUGAAAUGCGCAGAUAUCAGGAGGAACACCGAUGGCGAAGGCAGGUCUCUGGGCAUUAACUGACGCUGAGGAGCGAAAG
rnacentral:rRNA from 1 species